rnacentral:lncRNA from 1 species
UUCCCACUCCAAAAUUGAGUGGGACUCACGGAUUCUCACUCUCACUCCCCCCUUUUUUAAGGUAAGUAAACACUGGAGUGGGAGGAAUCUACACUCCACACUCUCACUCUAGAAAGUAAACACUACCCUAGUUGAUUUGACACCACAAAAGAGAAUUAGAUAGGGAAUUUUCCUAAGUUACAUUUGUUGUAACUUAUAAUUCAAUUAAAACAUGCAAAAAUAAGUAACGUGAGAGAUGGGGCUUGUAGACCAGUGUGUGGUCUUUACAUUUGUUUUAACUAGAAUGUAUGUUACAACAAAUGUAACGUAGUAGGACCCAUAGAUAGGACAUAUAGUUAGUCACACGUUAACACUGAAUCAUACGAUCAUAUCAUAUCACGCACAAGGACAAACUGCAGUUGAUCUACUUUACCAAAGAUAUUAUUGUAUUUGAGGAGAGCAUGUGAAUGUAAAUAUAGCUAUGUGAAUAUUGCAAGAAUUUCUUAAUAAAAAGACCUUGCACUUUUCAAAUUUGUGAAAAUAUCCCA